rnacentral:misc_RNA from 1 species
UCAAAUAAUAUAAAAAAUAAUAUAUAUAUUGACAUGGAUUAAACAAAGAUAUAUAUUAUUUUAUGUUGUAUAAACAAAUUGGCAAAAUAGAGAUGGAAGAUAAAAAUAUGGUCAAAGUAAUAAGAGUCUAUGGUGGAUGCCUAGGAGCUUUAAGGCGAAGAAGGUCGUGGUAAGCUGCGAAAAGCUUGGGGGAGAAGCAAACAUUUAUUGAUCCCAAGAUUACCGAAUGGAGUAAUCCAGCUAGCAAGAUGCUAGCUAUCUAUUAUCUAAAUAAUAGAGGCGAUACC